rnacentral:rRNA from 1 species
AUUGAACGCUGGCGGCAUGCCUUACACAUGCAAGUCGAACGGCAGCACGGGAGCAAUCCUGGUGGCGAGUGGCGAACGGGUGAGUAAUAUAUCGGAACGUGCCCAGUCGUGGGGGAUAACGCAGCGAAAGCUGUGCUAAUACCGCAUACGGUCUAAGGAUGAAAGCGGGGGAUCGCAAGACCUCGCGCGAUUGGAGCGGCCGAUAUUAGAUUAGCUAGUUGGUGGGGUAAAGGCCCACCAAGGCGACGAUCUGUAGCUGGUCUGAGAGGACGACCAGCCACACUGGAACGGAGACACGGUCCAGACUCCUACGGGAGGCAGCAGUGGGGAAUUUUGGACAAUGGACGCAAGUCUGAUUCAGCCAUUCCGCGUGCAGGAUGAAGGCCCUCGGGUUGUAAACUGCUUUUGUACGGAACGAAAAGGUUUCCAUUAAUACUGGGAGCUCAUGACGGUACCGUAAGAAUAAGCACCGGCUAACUACGUGCCAGCCGCCGCAGUAA